rnacentral:tRNA from 1 species
AGCUAAUUAGCUUAUAUAAAAGCCUUUACUUUGAAAGUAAAAGAAAGAAUAGAUUUAUUAGCUU